AGUGUCUAAAGUCCUCUGUCUAGCUCAUUUGCUGGCAAAACAACAUAUAAAGCUUGCGACAGAAAUCGUAUCGACAGCUAGAGGAAUGGAGUGUAUAAUUAUAACAGUCUCUAGCUUGCAUAUGGGAGCACGUCACCAGCCUCCUCCCCACCACCUCAAAUCCCCUGUCGCCCCCCACACCUGUGCACUGCUUGUGGAACAGUUGAGUCACAUACCGAGGCAAAAGUAGGUACUCGAGUAUUUCAUUUCCCUGUUCGCACGCGAAUGUUGUCGCAGUUUACUGCGUCUUCUGACGUGAAACAGGUGAGAGUGUGUGUUGUCAGCUAGGUUUACCUAGGACAGGCGGGCCCGAGCCACAACGGUUUGUUUAUUAUCGACUUUGAAAGUUGGCGAUUUCCACCUGUAGUCAGCAAGUCCUGCAAAAUCUCGCUCCCUAGCACGAAUAACGUGUGACGUCACAGCCGAUGGCGUCCAUGAAGCAAUGCAUCAGAUAUGUCGCCCUUCUUGUCCACGUGACCAAGCACUGCUGAGCCAAAGACACGAUGCCAGGUAUAAAAAUGUUACAGUACAUUAACUAUAUUAGACCACAAUCUCCAGUUCAUGACUCCGAAAAGGUCUUGAACCUGCUGGCAUGUGGAAUGGGACCAGAGCUGUUUGCAGAUAACCAGGAAAACUGCUUUGCAUUUCCAACAUGGAACGUAAGACCGACGAGUUCAUCCAUGAUAGUUGCUACUCUCAAGAGCUACAAGCAACAUUGACUGCUAACAGUGAAGCGACGCAAGCUGUUUUGUCUAGGCGAUGUCACCCAACAUGAUCCUCAAAGACCGUCCUUCAUGGUAUCCAAAGAGUAGUCAAGGAGGCAGAACUGACUGGUAUAAACUUAAGAGACACUACUGGUCAUACCAUGCAUGACUUACUCAUGAAAGCCGCUACGCGUAUCCAGCUUCUCUCUUGACCUGCAAACUAGUCCACUGAAGGGAUGGAUGAAAAAUGAAAUACAAAGCAGAAUUCUUAACACUGGUAUUUUGGCUACUUAAUUUGUCUUAUCACAGAUUUGUGAAUUAUGAGAAUAGAUUGUACAGCAUAAAUAUAUUUUCCACUUCCAUUCCUCAUUGUAUAUUUUGCAGAACAUUCAAUAACAUUUUGUUCGUCAUGUUCUACUCGAAAGUACCUCUUAAAAAGAUACAAAUUGAAGUUAUAAAACAAAUUAGGAGCAGUAGAUGUAUUAGGAUUCUUAGUUUGUUUUGGGCAGUUACAAACUCAACGGUUUUCUGUGACAUAUGUGCAAGCUAAAUG